CGACUAAGCGUACACGGUGGAUGCCCUGGCAGUCAGAGGCGAUGAAGGACGUGCUAAUCUGCGAAAAGCGUCGGUAAGGUGAUAUGAACCGUUAUAGCCGGCGAUGUCCGAAUGGGGAAACCCAGUGUGAUUCGUCACACUAUCGUUAACUGAAUACAUAGGUUAACGAGGCGAACCGGGGGGAG
rnacentral:rRNA from 1 species